rnacentral:ncRNA from 1 species
UGUUGCCAUAGUAAUCCUGCUCAGUACGAGAGGAACCGCAGGUUCAGACAUUUGGUGUAUGUGCUUGGCUGAGGAGCCAAUGGGGCGAAGCUACCAUCCGCCUAGAGGUGGUAGUUGAAGGCGUAGGAGCAAAAGACUUAUCCAAAGUAGUG